AAACUUUGGAACUUGAAGCAAUAAUUGGAGCUUAAAGCUAAUAUUAAAAUUUGAAGUUGCUUAAGGACCAUUGUGAGCAAUUCUUGGAACUCUUGUAUUUUAAUUGUAUCACUUCUUUGAAUGCUUGUGAUAGCCCUUGUUGAGGCUCAUUAUAUUGCUUUAUCUUUGUCCAAGCAUAGGCCCUUGUUGAGGCUAUUAUUUGUUGCAUUUGGAUUUUGAAUGUGGAUGGAGCCAAUGUUUGAUCCAAGUUUGGGGGGGAAAUUACAUCCCUUCACCUUAUGCCCCUCCAUCAUAUUUUAAUCCUUAUGAGAUUGAGUCUAAUUCAUUUCAUGCAUCAUCUUAUUAUGGACUUGAUCACUCAUUUAAUCCUUCCUAUGACUAUUGCCCUCCACCACCAUUUUAUGAUGAACCAAUUCCACCACCUUCUUGGUACUCACCCGGAUUUGAAGAAAAAGUAUUAGCUUUACUUGAUAUGCAUAUUUCACAAACUCCACUUAUUAAUUCUCAUUCUCGAACUUUAGCCAAGCUUGAAGCUCAAGUUGAGCAAAUUGCAAGUAUUCUUUCUCGUCAAGAGGAAGAGGAAGAGGCAAAUGAAAAAAUGACAAGAACUUCAAUGUAUAUAGAUGAGGAUGAUGAGAGUGAAGAGGAUGAGACAAGUGAGCUAAUGCCUAAUACUCUAUCUUGUAUAGAGGAGGAAGUGGCAAAUGAGUUAGUAACUAAUCCAAUAGAGCAUAAUAUGAUUAAUGAGGACUUUCCUUGCUUUGAUUAUGAUUUUAUCUAUGACCUUGCUACUUUAGAGAGUGAGGAGAUUUUAUUUAUGACAUUAAGGUAGGAGAGGAAGAAGAGGAAUUUGUUGAAGAGGGCCUUCCUUCUAUUAUCUCUAAUGACCCUCUUAAGACAUGUCUUUUUGAAAUGUAUAAAAAUUGUGGUUUUAACCUUGAAAGCUCAAAAAAUGAAGUGAACUCUCUAAUGGACUCCUUAGCUAACUUGGAAGGUAAAGAGAUGGUGAUUUUUUAGGAGGAGAAAAAGGAUAAAGAGAAGGUGUUCCUUGAUAUUCCAAAUGAGUCUUUGAAAGACAUUGACUUGCCAAUUCACAAAGGAAGUGAUUCUUUAAAUACACUUCAAGAGUACAAAAUUAAGGCAAGGCUAACCAUAAUUGAUUUUGUUUUCAAGACCGUGGAUGAAAGGAACGAAAUUAACUCUUUCAUUUCUUUUCAAGUCAUUCUUUUGGAGGAUGAUUUCAUUGUCAUAAGUGAGGCAUCAAAUGAGAAAAUGCAAAAGAGGGUCAAUAAGGAUGUUUCAUAUCCAGUUUUUGAUUCGUUUGAUUAGUGAGUUGACCCAACGUCUUGCUAGAGACGUUAAAUACUAGUAUUCGUAGAGUUUCACAACUCUAUUCCUCCCUCAUUUUUUUUUGUUUUUCAUUUCUUGCGAAUUCUAGAUAUUGGCUUUGGGUUCAUAUACAUUGCUAGGAACUGUGAUAAGGAUUGCAUGCACUUUCUUGUUGAAAUUGAGCAUUUUAUAUAAGUUCGAUCGAUCUCAAAUGAGAGUUCGAUUGAUCGAACUUUAUUCCUGCAGCAAACCUGCAUCCAAAUCACUCUCUGUCUCAUUAAUCCAAGGAAAAUUUAGGAUCUCAGUUCUUUGUUAGAUUGAUCAGAAGACCUUCGAUCGAUCCAAACUCCAAGUUCGAUUGAUCCAAACUCCAAGUUCAAUCGAUCUUGAGUUCCCACACUAAGAAAAAUUUUGAGCCUCCAUCAACCUGCAUAUUUCAGCUCUCUAUCAGAUCGAUCGAAAACAUUCCUAGAUCGAUCUAAAGUUCUUCGAUCAGUCUAACUUCAUUAUUGAGUCAAUCUUGAGAUUCCAUACUCAGAAAAAAUUUCAAAGCACUGCAAAUUUCAUACUCUCUAUCCCAUCGUGCGAGCAUAGAUCGAUCACAGCUUUGCCCCUUUGACUUUUUGACUUUUUCCUUUUUCUAUUUUUAUUUUAUUUUUUUCAUUUUCUUUUUCCAAAAAGAAAAAAGUUUUAAAAUUUGUUAAAAAUACAAAAAUAUUUUUGUUCAAAAUAUUUUAUUUUCGAAAACUCCAAAAAGAUUUUUAUUUUCAUUUUUACUUUUAUUUCCAAGAUUUAUUUUUAUUUCAAAUAAAAAAAAAUCCCAAAAACAUUUUUCUUUUAUUUUAUUUUCCUUUUAUCUUAUUUCCAAAAAUAUUUUGUUUACUUUAAUUUUUAAUUUUUAAUUUUUAAUUAAAAAAAAUAUAUAUCUUUCUUUGCAUUAUUUAUUUCUUUGCAUUUUUACUUCUUGCAUUGUUAUUUACUUGCCUUCUUAUUUUUGUUUGUGUAUAUAUUUGUUUUGUCUAAAUAAAAGAAAAAUAAUAAAUAAAAGAGAUGGUUAUCAAAGAAGCAUUCUGUCUUGCUAGAGACGUUAAACUUAGCACCCAUUUUGCAUAGUUCUUGCAUUUUUCGUUUUUCUUUGUACUUAAUUCUAAUAAAAUAAAAUAAAAUAAAAUAAAGGUAUUUAUUUUCAAUUUUCAUUAUUUUGUUCUUGCAUCCUUUUUUACUUUUUAGUUUUCAGUUCUUGCAUUGUAUAAAUUCUUUCAUUAUAUUUUACCUUCUUUAUUUUUCUUUUUGAAUUUUGUUCAUGCAUUUUAUUCUUUGUUUUUCUUGUAUUUUGUAUAUACUUGUUUUCAUUAAAUGAAAAAAAAUAUAAAAAAUUCAUCAUUGUGCCCUUAUGUAUAUUCAUGCAUACUUUAUGCUUUAGUUAAGACUUGAUCUCAUAUCUCUUUUUCAUCUUGUGCUAUAUUGUCUUGGAAUGCUCGAUUUGCUUAUCUUAUCCCAUUUGAUAUUUGAUGUGAGUUUGCUAGUGUGGUUAUUCAAGUAGGUUGUUGAUUCCGAGUUUGGGCGAGACGUUUUUCGAAUUGGAUCAUGACCAGGCUUCAUGUCUUUGCUACCACGGUUAAGAAUGUUAAAAUGGGCUAAAAAUGGUUUCUUAAGGCCUUUUUGGAGUCAAACUAAGUCUUAGUGAUGAUCUGAAGCAAAAAGAGGACGAUUUUGGAGCAAAAAGAGGCUGAUGCUGAAAAUCUACCAAGUUGGAUCCAUCCAACUUUCUGAGAAAAGUUGGAUCCAUCGGAAAUCAAAUUUGGAUCAAUCCAACUUUUUGAAAAAGUUAGAUCGAUCGAAAAUCAAAGUUGGAUCGAUCGAACUUUUACUGGCAGCAAGCUGUCUUAUUCCGUGCGCGCCCAAAAGUUCACCUAUCACAUAGAACGGGAUUAGAUAUUUUUUGGCCUAUAUUCCUAACUUAAUGACUAAGAAAAAAACCUUCUAUAUAAAGGGAAGUGACCCAUUUGUAAAGGAGCUUUUUAUCUUUUUAUUUUUUACAUUGUAUUUUUUAUUUCUCUCUCUAGCAAAGUUAGAGAUUAGGGUUAGAAGAAAAGAGGGAAGUGGAGGCACAUCUCAAGACCCAUCUCUAGACCCACUCUCUCUCCAUCUCUAGAGCUUCAAAGAAAAAGAAGAAGAAUAGGAAGAAGAAGAUGGAGCCAUGUUUGGAGCUUGAUUCCAUGACCACAUCCACCUCCUCCAUGAUUGGCUAGAUCUAUACUUAGGGCUUGGAUGAGCCCUAAGUCUUGUGUAAUCUAAACCCUUGUAUUUCUAUUUUUGGGGAUUUAUAUAUAUUGUUGUGAUUAGUGUUCUAGCCUUGUGAAUUUAA